rnacentral:tRNA from 1 species
GGGGUUGUGGCUUAGUGGCAGAGCACUUGCCUCACAUGUAUGAGGCACUGGGUUCAAUCCUCAGCACCA